rnacentral:rRNA from 1 species
GCCUAUAUCCAUGCCACCCUAAACAAGCCCGCUUUCUGAUCUUAGAAGCUAAGCAGAGUCGGGCCUGGUUAGUACUUGGAUGGGAGACCAACUAGGAAGACCAAAUGCUGUAGGCA